UCUCAAUUUGUUUUUUUAAAUUGUUUAUUUUAAGAAGGUUUUGACAUCCAAACGAAGUUACACCGUAUGAGCAAAAUUAAAUGAAUAAGUAAACCCCAAAACAAAUUCUGUUAUCCUAGUUAAGAAAUUAUAUUCUGUAUAUUCUUUAAAUUCUUUCUCUUUUCUGCAUUUCACCUCUGCUGUAGCUUCUUUCCUUUCAAUAAACCUGGCAUUGCAUUGUUGGCUCAGUGACAAAUGGCUUGUUGUGUUCUUAGAUCCUUCAGUGCUGAUGCCCUGCAACAUAGCGGAGUGGAGCUGAUCUUCAUCUCUAAAGCACUAUUGAUGAACCAUAUGAUUAAACAAGUCUGUGACUGACUUAAUGAACCCAGUUGCUUUGGAUCAUGCUCAAAGAUGUAAGGGUUACAAAAAGUUAACCAGAACUCUUAUGGACUCCAUCUUCUCUUUCGAAGAGAUGGCAGCAUGAACGGAAAAAAAGGGGUUGUUGGUGAAAAAAGAGCCUUGACCUACAAAAGGUGCAGCUAAUAAUUGACCAUGUCAAAAAGAGGCACCCAGGCAUCGGAGGCACUGAGAUCAAGGUCUGCAUGGCACAAAAGUUAAAAGAUCUGAGGAGACGAGCAGAAAGGAUGCCUGCUGCAGGAGACACAAAGGACUGAGACAACACACUUUCACAAACGCACACCACACACACACACAUGCGCGUAUACCUGCGUUUUUU